UCCUCCCAUAUGAAGCUGGAUCGCUAGUAAUCGCAGAACAGCAUGCUGCGGUGAAUAUGUUACUAGACUUUGUACACACCGCCCGUCACAUCAAGGAAGUUAAAUAUUUUUAAAAUGAUUUUUAGUUAUUUUAUUUUAAUAAAUAAUUAUUUAAUUUUAAUAAUUUAUAUUUAAGAUUUUAUAAUAUAUAAGUUCCUAAAAAGUAUUUAGUAACUUUGAUGAAGUCGUAACAAGGUAGUCGUAGGGGAACCUGUGGCUGGAAGAGCUCUUUA
rnacentral:ncRNA from 1 species